GUAGUCCGCACGAGCGCACCCUCGUUUUUAGUUGCCAGCACGUAAAGGUGGGCACUCUAGAGAGACUGCCGGUGACAAACCGGAGGAAGGUGGGGAUGACGUCAAGUCAGCAUGCCCCUUACGCCCUGGGCUACACACGUACUACAAUGGUCAGGACAAUGGGCAGCCAACUCGCAAGGGGGAGCUAAUCUCAUCAAACCUGGCCUCAGUUCAGAUUGCCGGCUGCAACUCGCCGGCAUGAAGGAGGAAUCGCUAGUAAUCGCCGGUCAGAAUACGGCGGUGAAUCCGUUCCCGGGCCUU
rnacentral:rRNA from 1 species